UUGAACGCUGGCGGCAGGCCUAACACAUGCAAGUCGAGCGGUAGCACAGAGAGCUUGCUCUCGGGUGACGAGCGGCGGACGGGUGAGUAAUGUCUGGGAAACUGCCUGAUGGAGGGGGAUAACUACUGGAAACGGUAGCUAAUACCGCAUAACGUCGCAAGACCAAAGUGGGGGACCUUCGGGCCUCAUGCCAUCAGAUGUGCCCAGAUGGGAUUAGCUAGUAGGUGGGGUAACGGCUCACCUAGGCGACGAUCCCUAGCUGGUCUGAGAGGAUGACCAGCCACACUGGAACUGAGACACGGUCCAGACUCCUACGGGAGGCAGCAGUGGGGAAUAUUGCACAAUGGGCGCAAGCCUGAUGCAGCCAUGCCGCGUGUGUGAAGAAGGCCUUCGGGUUGUAAAGCACUUUCAGCGGGGAGGAAGGCGAUAAGGUUAAUAACCUUGUCGAUUGACGUUACCCGCAGAAGAAGCACCGGCUAACUCCGUGCCAGCAGCCGCGGUAAUACGGAGGGUGCAAGCGUUAAUCGGAAUUACUGGGCGUAAAGCGCACGCAGGCGGUCUGUCAAGUCGGAUGUGAAAUCCCCGGGCUCAACCUGGGAACUGCAUUCGAAACUGGCAGGCUAGAGUCUUGUAGAGGGGGGUAGAAUUCCAGGUGUAGCGGUGAAAUGCGUAGAGAUCUGGAGGAAUACCGGUGGCGAAGGCGGCCCCCUGGACAAAGACUGACGCUCAGGUGCGAAAGCGUGGGGAGCAAACAGGAUUAGAUACCCUGGUAGUCCACGCCGUAAACGAUGGAUACUAGGUGUAGGAGGUAUCGACCCCUUCUGUGCCGCAGUUAACACAAUAAGUAUCCCACCUGGGGAGUACGAUCGCAAGGUUAAAACUCAAAUGAAUUGACGGGGGCCCGCACAAGCGGUGGAGCAUGUGGUUUAAUUCGAUGCAACGCGAAGAACCUUACCUGGUCUUGACAUCCACGGAAGUUUUCAGAGAUGAGAAUGUGCCUUCGGGAACCGUGAGACAGGUGCUGCAUGGCUGUCGUCAGCUCGUGUUGUGAAAUGUUGGGUUAAGUCCCGCAACGAGCGCAACCCUUAUCCUUUGUUGCCAGCGGUUAGGCCGGGAACUCAAAGGAGACUGCCAGUGAUAAACUGGAGGAAGGUGGGGAUGACGUCAAGUCAUCAUGGCCCUUACGACCAGGGCUACACACGUGCUACAAUGGCAUAUACAAAGAGAAGCGACCUCGCGAGAGCAAGCGGACCUCAUAAAGUAUGUCGUAGUCCGGAUUGGAGUCUGCAACUCGACUCCAUGAAGUCGGAAUCGCUAGUAAUCGUAGAUCAGAAUGCUACGGUGAAUACGUUCCCGGGCCUUGUACACACCGCCCGUCACACCAUGGGAGUGGGUUGCAAAAGAAGUAGGUAGCUUAACCUUCGGGAGGGCGCUUACCACUUUGUGAUUCAUGACUGGGGUG
rnacentral:rRNA from 1 species